AGAGUGAACGCUGGCGGCAGGCCUAACACAUGCAAGUCGAGCGGCAGCGCGGGGGCAACCCUGGCGGCGAGCGGCGGACGGGUGAGGAAUGCAUCGGAAUCUACCUUGUUGUGGGGGAUAACGUAGGGAAACUUACGCUAAUACCGCAUACGACCUACGGGUGAAAGAGGGGGACCUUCGGGCCUCUCGCGAUAAGAUGAGCCGAUGCCGGAUUAGCUAGUUGGUGGGGUAAAGGCCCACCAAGGCGACGAUCCGUAGCUGGUCUGAGAGGACGACCAGCCACACUGGGACUGAGACACGGCCCAGACACCUACGGGAGGCAGCAGUGGGGAAUAUUGCACAAUGGGCGCAAGCCUGAUGCAGCAACGCCGCGUGAGGGACGACGGCCUUCGGGUUGUAAACCUCUUUAGCAAGGAAGAAGCGAAAGUGACGGUACUUGCAGAAAAGACACCGGCUAACUACGUGCCAGCAGCCGC
rnacentral:rRNA from 1 species